rnacentral:pre_miRNA from 1 species
AGUUGCUGCUUCAUGCACAAGCAUUAUGUAAUCAUAACCUGCUGUGCGUAAAACAGCGACCUU